AAAGUGUUAGUUUAUGAUUAAAAUUGUAAGUUGUCGGCUUAUAGAAACUAUAUUAGUACUCUUUG
rnacentral:tRNA from 1 species